UGGAGAGUGGUUCAAUUGAAAAAGAGAAUACUGAGCUGCAUGGGCCAAAAUGGCAUUAUGUUGAGCCUUGUCCCAAACUUUGGUUAACACUUUAGUCUGGCAUUUUACAGAUCCCUAGGCCUGCUCUGUACAUAAUGCCCCACAGAGGGGUUUUUUCUACACUGAAAAUACACUUGGACUGCAGUUUUGACUUUGGCCUCAUUAUUGGACCAAAUCAACUAGGCCAUACUUACAAAUUCAACUUAAUGUCGUCUAUACCAUGAGGAAAGGCUUAUCUAUGUUCUCCUUAUGUGAACACGGUAAAUCCCUGUCUGCCUUCUCACCUAAACUAAAGAUAUCUCUGAUCGAAGUUGGCAAGCUGCGGUGACAUAUAGCCAAACAACUCCCAGGAUUGGGCAACUCCACAGCAUUCACAGAGACACCAGAGCAGAACAGAGGUCGUUACAUCACACAGUAUAACAGACGAGAAGUGAACAGAAGAGAGGGGCAGGGCCUUGUAAGGUCGUCCUGAUCAUCUGCUGAGAGUAAGGGCUGGGCCAAUUGUACUUGUCAGACACAUGUCUUGUCAAGCUUGCUUUCUCUUUCUACACAACUCGUCCACUCCCUCAAAGCACUCCACAUG